CAGGACCAAGCAAAAUUGCCCAUUUUUAAGGUCUUUGUUCCAUUCUCGUUACUCGACAAUGAGCAAAGAGGGGCAGCUAUAAAAGACCAAUUUUAGCCUGGCCAAAAAUAAUAAAACAAAUUAAAAUAAAAAAAAUCAAACAUACCCAAAACAAAAAUAAGGUCCCAGUCCAGUUAUAACAUCGACCCAAAUAACAAACCCAAAUGGUCCAAUCAUUAAACCCAAAUUAAUUUACCCUAGCCCAAUACAACCUUAGCCCAUAACAUAUUCAAAAAAAAUAAGAAGAAAAAACCCUAGACAAACAAAACCAGCCGCCGCUGCCUCUAGUCGUCGGCCACGUGUGCCGCCACGUUGACCACCGUACGGCCUUGUACCUGCAAAAUGAACUAGAAGAAUAUAAAAGCAAAAAACAAUGUAAAAAAAUAAAAAGAAAAUAG
rnacentral:lncRNA from 1 species